GAUGAACGCUGGCGGCGUGCCUAAUACAUGCAAGUCGAGCGAACAGAUAAGGAGCUUGCUCCUUUGACGUUAGCGGCGGACGGGUGAGUAACACGUGGGUAACCUACCUAUAAGACUGGGAUAACUUCGGGAAACCGGAGCUAAUACCGGAUAACAUUUGGAACCGCAUGGUUCUAAAGUGAAAGAUGGUUUUGCUAUCACUUAUAGAUGGACCCGCGCCGUAUUAGCUAGUUGGUAAGGUAACGGCUUACCAAGGCGACGAUACGUAGCCGACCUGUGAGAGUGAUCGGCCACACUGGAACUGAGACACGGUCCAGACUCCUACGGGAGGCAGCAGUAGGGAAUCUUCCGCAAUGGGCGAAAGCCUGACGGAGCAACGCCGCGUGAGUGAUGAAGGGUUUCGGCUCGUAAAACUCUGUUAUUAGGGAAGAACAAACGUGUAAGUAACUGUGCACGUCUUGACGGUACCUAAUCAGAAAGCCACGGCUAACUACGUG
rnacentral:rRNA from 1 species